rnacentral:rRNA from 5 species
GUUUGACCUCAAAUCAGGUAGGAUUACCCGCUGAACUUAA